rnacentral:rRNA from 1 species
AGCGAACGCUGGCGGCAGGCCUAACACAUGCAAGUCGAACGAAGUCUUCGGACUUAGUGGCGGACGGGUGAGUAACACGUGGGAACGUGCCUUUAGGUUCGGAAUAACUCAGGGAAACUUGUGCUAAUACCGAAUGUGCCCUUCGGGGGAAAGAUUUAUCGCCUUUAGAGCGGCCCGCGUCUGAUUAGCUAGUUGGUGAGGUAAAGGCUCACAAAGGCGACGAUCAGUAGCUGGUCUGAGAGGAUGAUCAGCCACAUUGGGACUGAGACACGGCCCAAACUCCUACGGGAGGCAGCAGUGGGGAAUCGUGCGCAAUGGGCGAAAGCCUGACGCAGCCAUGCCGCGUGAAUGAUGAAGGUCUUAGGAUUGUAAAAUUCUCUCACCGGGGACGAUAAUGACGGUACCCGGGGAAGAAGCACCGGCUAACUUCGUGCCAGCCGCCGCCGUAAAAC